CCCUGGUUAGCUCAGUUGGUAGAGCGCUCCAUUGGAAAUGGAGGGGUCCCGGGCUUGAUAUUAGGACGAGGCG
rnacentral:tRNA from 1 species